UUGGAUUAAUACCUCAUAGUAUGUGAGAAUGGCAUCAUUUUCACAUUAAAGUCACAACGGCAAAAGAUGAGCAUGCGUCCCAUUAGCUAGUUGGUAUGGUAACGGCAUACCAAGGCGACGAUGGGUAGGGGUCCUGAGAGGGAGAUCCCCCACACUGGUACUGAGACACGGACCAGACUCCUACGGGAGGCAGCAGUGAGGAAUAUUGGACAAUGGGCGCAAGCCUGAUCCAGCCAUGCCGCGUGCAGGAUGACGGUCCUAUGGAUUGUAAACUGCUUUUGUACAGGAAGAAACACUACUUCGUGAAGUAGCUUGACGGUACUGUAAGAAUAAGGAUCGGCUAACUCCGUGCCAGCAGCCGCGGUAAUACGGAGGAUCCAAGCGUUAUCCGGAAUCAUUGGGUUUAAAGGGUCCGUAGGCGGUCUUAUAAGUCAGUGGUGAAAUCUCCCCGCUCAACGG
rnacentral:rRNA from 1 species